AAGGAAUAUUGGUCAAUGGGCGGAAGCCUGAACCAGCCAUGCCGCGUGCAGGAAGACGGCCCUACGGGUUGUAAACUGCUUUUAUACCGGAAUAAACCCUGAUACGUGUAUCAGGCUGAAUGUACGGUAAGAAUAAGGAUCGGCUAACUCCGUGCCAGCAGCCGCUGUAAUACGGAGGAUCCAAGCGUUAUCCGGAUUUAUUGGGUUUAAAGGGUGCGUAGGUGGCCUGUUAAGUCAGGGGUGAAAGACGGUAGCUCAACUAUCGCAGUGCCCUUGAUACUGACGGGCUUGAAUGAACUAGAGGUAGGCGGAAUGUGACAAGUAGCGGUGAAAUGCAUAGAUAUGUCACAGAACACCAAUCGCGAAGGCAGCUUACUAUGGUUUGAUUGACACUGAGGCACGAAAGCGUGGGGAUCAAACA
rnacentral:rRNA from 1 species